GGGGGGUUAGCUCAAUUGGCUAGAGCACCUGAUUUGCACUCAGGAGGUUGUGGGUUCAAGUCCCAUACCCUCCA